UACGGGGGGGGCAAGCGUUGUUCGGAAUUACUGGGCGUAAAGGGCUCGUAGGUGGCCAACUAAGUCAGACGUGAAAUCCCCAGGCUCAACUUGGGAACUGCGUCUGAUACUGGAUGGCUUGAAUUCGGGAGAGGGAUGCAGAAUUCCAGGUGUAGCGGUGAAAUGCGUAGAUAUCUGGAGGAACACCGGUGGCGAAGGCGGGUCUCUGGGCCGUAACUGACGCUGAGGAGCGAAAGCGUGGGGAGCGAACAGG
rnacentral:rRNA from 1 species